rnacentral:lncRNA from 1 species
UCAUUUUAAGGAAAAUAAUAAAAGGUGUUAAGGUGGUAAUUUUGUAAUUGUGUAAACAUGAUAUUUAGGUGAUUAAUGCACAAAAUAUCGAUUUUUUACAAACUGCUGACAUAGAUUUCUAUAGGCAGAGAUGAUCAAGAUCUCAAUCAAGGGUGUUCACCGAAGGCAAGAAAACCAAGAAACGACCAGGAAGAGGUUUAAAAAGGGCUAAGUGAAGGAGGUUAAGCUUGAAGAUCAAGGAUGAGAUUUGGUUAAGGUCACCAGUACAAGGUAUGCUCAAACACUAAUACAUAGUUGGUGUAUGUGAUGGACGAUUUCUCAUUCGAACCAUUCCAAGAUACAUGGUGAAGGAACACACUUUUUUUUACUGUUAAAAUUUUCUUGAAUUUUGCUAGUCUUAGUCCAUGCAUGUUUACUAACAACAACAUAUCCAUAAAUUAGCUAGCAAUUAGAAAGAGGAGUGAUAAUCAAAGGGUUCAAAGCAAUAAGCCUACUGGGAUGUAUUUGUAAACUGAUUACGAGGUUUUAGCCAAGCGAAUGAUAAAAGUUUGGAUAAAGUGAUUGGGGAAUGUGCACAUGCUUUUGUUGAAGGAAGAUAGAUUAAGGGUGUGGUUCUAGUGACAAACAAGGUAUGGAUGAUCUUGUGUUUAGAAAUAGAGAUGGAAUUCUGUGUAAACUUAAUAUGAAGAAGGCUUAUGACCACGUCAAUUGGAGUGUCGUAUAUUGUAUGCUAACGAGAAACGAGUUUUGGUGAUAAAUGGCG